GACGAACGCUGGCGGCGUGCUUAACACAUGCAAGUCGAACGGAAAGGCCCUGCUUUUGUGGGGUGCUCGAGUGGCGAACGGGUGAGUAACACGUGAGUAACCUGCCCUUGACUUUGGGAUAACUUCAGGAAACUGGGGCUAAUACCGGAUAGGAGCUCCUGCUGCAUGGUGGGGGUUGGAAAGUUUCGGCGGUUGGGGAUGGACUCGCGGCUUAUCAGCUUGUUGGUGGGGUAGUGGCUUACCAAGGCUUUGACGGGUAGCCGGCCUGAGAGGGUGACCGGCCACAUUGGGACUGCGAGACGCCCCAGACUCCUACGGGAGGCAGCAGUGGGGAAUAUUGCACACUGGGCGGAAGCCUGUUGUAGCAACGCCGCGUGCGGGAUGACGGCCUUCGGGUUGUAAACCGCUUUCGCCUGUGACGAAGCGUGAGUGACGGUAAUGGGUAAAGAAGCACCGGCUAACUACGUG
rnacentral:rRNA from 1 species